rnacentral:rRNA from 1 species
CAAUAGCGUAUAUUAAAGUUGUUGCAGUUAAAAAGCUCGUAGUUGGAUUUCUGGUGGGAGCGAUCGGUCUGGCGCUUAGCGCGAGUACUUGCAUCGUCUCCGGCCAUCCUUGGGGAGAGUCUGUCUGGCAUUAGGUUGUCGGGCAGAGGAUCCUCAUCGUUUACUGUGAAAAAAUUAGAGUGUUCAAAGCAGGCUUAUGCCGUUGAAUAUAUUAGCAUGGAAUAAUAAGAUAGGACUUUGGUACUAUUUUGUUGGUUUGCGCACCAAAGUAAUGAUUAAUAGGGACAGUUGGGGGUAUUCGUAUUCCGUUGUCAGAGGUGAAAUUCUUGGAUUUACGGAAGACGAACUACUGCGAAAGCAUUUACCAAGGAUGUUUUCAUUG